UACGGAGGGAUCUAGCGUUGUUCGGAAUUACUGGGCGUAAAGCGCACGUAGGCGGCUAUUCAAGUCGGGGGUGAAAGCCCGGGGCUCAACCCCGGAACAGCCCUCGAAACUAGAUAGCUAGAAUCUUGGAGAGGCGAGUGGAAUUCCGAGUGUAGAGGUGAAAUUCGUAGAUAUUCGGAAGAACACCAGUGGCGAAGGCGACUCGCUGGACAGGUAUUGACGCUGAGGUGCGAAAGCGUGGGGAGCAAACAGG
rnacentral:rRNA from 1 species